AUUGGGCGUAAAGAGUUGCGUAGGCGGUUAGUUAAGUGAAUAGUGAAACCUGGUGGCUCAACCAUACAGACUAUUAUUCAAACUGCAUAACUCGAGAGUGGUAGAGGUAACUGGAAUUUCUUGUGUAGGAGUGAAAUCCGUAGAUAUAAGAAGGAACACCAAUGGCGUAGGCAGGUUACUGGACCAUUUCUGACACUAAGGCACGAAAGCGUGGGGAGCGAACCGGAUUAGAUACCCGGGUAGUCCACGCCGUAAACGAUGGAUACUAGCUGUUGGAGGUAUCGACCCCUUCAGUAGCGAAGCUAACGCGUUAAGUAUCCCGCCUGUGGAGUACGGUCGCAAGACUAAAACAUAAAGGAAUUGACGGGGAUCAGCACAAGCGGUGGAUCGUGUUCUUUAAUUCGAUGAUAAACGAAGAACCUUACCAGGGCUUGACAUCCAGGGAAGCACUACGAAAGUAGAGUGUGCCUUUUGGAACCCUGUGACAGGUGUUGCAUGGCCGUCGUCAGCUCGUGUCGUGAGAUGUUUGGUUAAGUCCAUCAACGAGCGCAACCCUUGUGAAUAGUUGUAUUUUUCUAUUCAAACUGCCCCGGCAACGGGGA
rnacentral:rRNA from 1 species